rnacentral:lncRNA from 1 species
GCAAAAUAUCUAAUCAGACCUUUAACCAGCCUCUUCUCAGGGAUUACCAGCUACUUGCUACCUCGGCGGACACCUAUCCCUUAUGUGAAGGCCUCACCAACGGCUGACAGAACUUCACCAUCGUGGACAUGGAGCUACAAAACGUAACUCGACUGGGGACCCUCACUAGCCUGUCAACCAAGGGUUUCUAGGCCCAUUCGCUCUUGUAUGCCUCCUCCUGACCGCUGGUCUUUUCUCAGCCAGUCCCUCUCAUUGGACUUCUGGCCCGAAGCUAAUGUGGUGUUUUCUCUCCCCUCUUCUUCUCCUUGCCUUCGGGUAUCUUUGGUGUUUUUAGGCUCAUCAUGUGGCGCACCUGGUUCGUGGAGGCCCUCCGACAGGACAGCUGGCUGAUUCCCCCCAUUUGCAGGGACAAGGAUUGGAUUGAGACUAUCUAUGACCUAAGGCUUCGAGGAACUUUCAUCAAUUUCAGCCCCAAGGAAAUUCACAUUUUCAGCGCCCUGGCCUUUACAGCUAUGCUUCUCUUGUCCCCACACCCUGACCAUCCCUCCCUUCCUUCACAUUGUCCCUCUCCAGCAGGAAGUAGCCAGAGGACCUCAUCGCCCUACUCCCAACACAAAAACAAAAAGGGAGGAAUGUUGGGUGUGUGGGAGACUCCCUGCUGAAGUUUCCGUCUCAAGAGAACAUCACCCCUCCCCCUCCUCUCCGAAGGGGGCCAAGCCAAAGAGCACCAAAUUCAAAAGUUUUCUCGACCAGUCCCUGCAGGACAUAGUGUCUGCUUACUAUUCCUGAGUCACCCUGCCAAUCAGCACCCGCCACAUCACCUAUGCAACCCUUCUUAAACAGAAGCUUGCAAGCUCAAGCUCUCUGCCCUCCUCCUCUCCUCUCUCUGCUUCUCCUUUUCUUCCCCUUCAGGCAGCACCCUUCCCCAAUAAAAUCUCUUGGUUGAAUCUCCAUCUCGGCUGAGUCACUCACCUUUC